GGAGAGAUGGAUCUGGGAGUGGAGGAGGAGACGGAAGAAGAGGAAAAGGGAGUUUUCAGUGAUGUAAAAAAUUCCUUGCUCGGGGGUUUCCAUGGCUACAGUGACAUCACCACACUACAGCUACUUUGUGUGUGAGAGAGACAGACCUCUUAUUUCUGCCUCAGUCGAUUCAUGGUUACUUGCAGUUGCCAGGCAACUGUAGUCAUGGCAAAAAGCACGUUUCUGAGAGAAAGAGAUUCCAGAACUCAUAAAGAACAUCUCUGAUUGCCAUCAAUCAGACAAAACAAACACAGACUGAUGGAGAGAGGUAGAGAGAGAGAACAAACACAGACUGAUGGAUGGAGGUAGAGAGAGAGAACAAACACAGACUGAUGGAUGGAGGUAGAGAGAGAGAACAAACACAGACUGAUGGAGAGAGGUGGAGAGAGAGAACAAACACAGACUGAUGGAGGUAGAGAGAGAGAACAAACACAGACUGAUGGAUGGAGGUAGAGAGAGAGAACAAACACAGACUGAUGGAGAGAGGUAGAGAGAGAGAACAAACACAGACUGAUGGAGGGAGGUAGAGAGAGAGAACAAACACAGACUGAUGGAUGAGGUGGAGAGAGAGAACAAACACAGACUGGAGAGAGGUGGAGAGAGAGAACAAACACAGACUGGUGGAGAGAGAGAACAGACACAGACUGAUGGAGGUGGAGAGAGAGAACAAACACAGACUGAUUGAGAGAGAGAACAAACACAGACUGAUGGAGGGAGGUAGAGAGAGAGAACAAACACAGACUGAUGGAGGGAGGUGGAGAGAGAACAAACACAGACUGAUGGAUGGAGGUGGAGAGAGAGAACAAACACAGACUGAUGGAGGGAGGUGGAGAGAGAGAACAAACACAGACUGAUGGAGGGAGGUGGAGAGAGAGAACAAACACAGACUGAUGGAUGGAGGUGGAGAGAGAACAAACACAGACUGAUGGAGAGAGAGAACAAACACAGACUGAUGGAGGGAGAUGGAGAGAACAAACAAAGACUGAUGGAGGGAGGUGGAGAGAGAGAACAGACACAGACUGAUGGAGGGAGGUAGAGAGAGAACAGACACAGACUGAUGGAGGGAGGUAGAGAGAGAGAACAAACACAGACUGAUGGAGGGAGGUGGAGAGAGAGAACAAACACAGACUGAUGGAGGGAGGUAGAGAGAGAGAACAGACACAGACUGAUGGAGGGAGGUAGAGAGAGAGAACAAACAGAGACUGAUGGAGGGAGGUAGAGAGAGAGAACAAACACAGACUGAUGGAGGUGGAGAGAGAGAACAAACACAGACUGAUGGAGGUGGAGAGAGAACAAACACAGACUGAUGGAGGGA
ensembl:lncRNA